UCAGUGCUCUCGCUGAUCUGAAGGA
rnacentral:snRNA from 1 species